rnacentral:lncRNA from 1 species
GGAAAGCAUUUAUAUCUUAUGUACGUUGGAUUUUUUCCAGCUCCGUUUUUAGCAAUGACAGUGGUGUCGUGAUUAAUCUUCUUUCCUGUUUUUCUUUUCUUCACCAUCCUAGGAUGUUGAAAGUGUUUUAAAGAUGCUGUUGCACCUCCUGGGCGCUUACCACCACAACAUUCCCGAGGAGACCUUGUCACAGUCCUACCCGGCCGUGUGCCUGAGGCUGCACGAGGCCGUCUGCAGCGUCACCAAGAUCCGGGGCUUUUAUGAGAUUCCCGCCUUGUCGGCCGAGAUCGUCCGCACUGUUGUCGCUCUUCAGCCCGCCGUGGACUCAGGAGGACGCGGGAAGGAAGCCAGGAAGAGUUCGGUUCCGACACUCUCCCAGGGGACUCUGGCUGCUACUAGAGCUUGGCUCCACAGAAUUCUUAAGAAGAACAUGUUCCAGGAGACACGUUCAUCUGUCUCACUCACUUAUUCCGAGGAAAUCCAGGUCUGGCGGCGGCUGGUGGAAAUAGACUUCCCCGCGGAGCACGGUUGGAAGGAGUCGUUGCUGGGAGACUUGGAAGGGCGGCUCAAACAGGAGAGGCCCCUCUUGCAGAUCCGGGCCUACUGCAGCUCCCGCUGGGACUCCGCGGGCUCAGAGGACGCUGUGGCCAAGACCUUUGAGAAGUGUGUCAUUGAAGCCGUGAGCUCAGCCUGCCAGUCACAGAGGAGUAUCCUUGAGGGAGUCUCUUACCACGAUUUGCAGAAAUUCGGCACCCUUGUGUCUGCCGUGAUCACCAAGUCCUGGCCUAGAGACAGAGGGAAGGCCGUGGAUGACCUGGAUGAAAUUUUUAAGCACCUGCUCACGUGGCCGGAUGUGAAGCAUCUUUUCAGACUGUGUGGAACUGAUGAGAAAAUAUUAGCAAAUAUCACAGACGAAGGCAAGAAGCUGAUGGCUACUGCUAACUCUGUGUUGACAAAAGUUGCUGGUGACCUGCUAAACGGGACGAUCCUCAUCGGGCAGCUGGAGCUGAUUAUGAAGCACGAGACUCAGUUUCUUGACAUCUGGCAACUAAAGGAAAAAUGUCUUUCAUCCCAGGAGAAAUUAGCUGAUAUGAAGAAAGUGCUGGAUUGGAGAAAGGAAGAACUAGAUUUUCUAAAGAAGGAGGAAAGUUACGUUGACGGCCUGCUGAAGCUGUGCGAGAGUGUGAAGCACCUGGUGCAAGUGGACUUUGGAGAGGUUGCAACAAGACACUCAGAGGACCUGAGCAGUAAAAGGUUAAAUGAAGCCGUGACAGUGAGACUGCCCACCUCCUCGGACCAGCCGAUGACAAUACACUACCACUUGAGCCCCCAGGUCCAAGAAAUGGCUGAAAAGGUAGAUUUGCUGAAAGACAGCCACAUCUUCCAGAUCUUCUGGAAGGAAGCCGCAGAGUGGUUGAGUGAUCCUGAAGAAGAAUCAGAAAGGCAAAUACUGCAGCUCGAAGAGGCGUAUGGUCAUCUAUAUCAGCCUUCUUACGAAAAGUUCCUUGUACUUUAUGAGGACCUGAAGUCAGGAGAGGUCACCUUUGCAGAAAUCAAUGUCCUCUUCAAGGACUUUGUGAAUAAGUACAGUGAACUGACGACAGAGCUCCACAUCAUGGGUGCUGUGGACAGCCAGAGCCCACGGGACUGGAUCCGGGAGCGGGUUGGGCAGAUCAGGGAGUACCAUAACCUGCACCAGGCUGUCAGCGCGGCCACGGUUAUCUCGCAGGUCAAAGAGGAUCUGGGACUGACUGGUGACUUCAGUGUUCUUUGCACUUUACUACGUUUUGUAAGUUACCUACUAGGGACUCCGGGGUGGCGGUGGGGGCAGGGUGUCCUGCCUGAGAUUCCUUG